AGUGAACGCUGGCGGUAGGCCUAACACAUGCAAGUCGAGCGGCAGCACAGAGGAGCUUGCUCCUUGGGUGGCGAGUGGCGGACGGGUGAGGAAUACAUCGGAAUCUACUCUGUCGUGGGGGAUAACGUAGGGAAACUUACGCUAAUACCGCAUACGACCUACGGGUGAAAGCAGGGGAUCUUCGGACCUUGCGCGAUUGAAUGAGCCGAUGUCGGAUUAGCUAGUUGGCGGGGUAAAGGCCCACCAAGGCGACGAUCCGUAGCUGGUCUGAGAGGAUGAUCAGCCACACUGGAACUGAGACACGGUCCAGACUCCUACGGGAGGCAGCAGUGGGGAAUAUUGGACAAUGGGCGCAAGCCUGAUCCAGCCAUACCGCGUGGGUGAAGAAGGCCUUCGGGUUGUAAAGCCCUUUUGUUGGGAAAGAAAUCCAGCUGGC
rnacentral:rRNA from 1 species